rnacentral:snRNA from 1 species
GGAUAUGAGGGCAAUCUGGCUGUGACCUCUGUCACCUAAAUGAUCGCAGGGUUGAUUUGGCUCUUCUGGCUGGCUAGGUGGGUUUCCCCUUCCUCCCUCACCACUCCAGUGCAUCCCUCCUGAAGCUGCAUGCUUGGUCAAAGAGGAUGACUUUCCUGAUAGAGGAGGACCAUUAUUCUGUCGAGGGUAUAUGAGGAGCUAUGCUCCCCUGUUAGAAUCUCCAAACAAGCUCUCCAGAUCUUGGGUUUGGAGAUUUAUAAACCUCAUUUGUGGCCCUGACUUCAUUACUGUGUGA